CAAGGGCCUGGGAGCUGAUAAAAGUUAGCGCGUCCAAUACAGUAUUCUCAGUCAAGGCCCGGAGGAAAGACUUCAGACAGGACCGUGGUUACGAAGACAAGAAGGCAUGCCGCAGGGUCCCGAAGCAGAUUUAAAGUGUCGUGAGGCAACUCAAGAUUGGACUUCACUUACAGAACCCUGUCGUACCUGCCCAGGUACCUAACGGCACCUUGCAAUUUCUUCGAACUCGGCUCUUGUUCGUGAAUUCGGGAAUCUUUUGGCUCCUGAAUUUUGGCUCACCCCCAAGCUUAAGCAAGAACCAAGAUGCAGAAAUUCCCCAUUCAAUAGCUCAUUCUGAGAAAGGGCUAAAGACAGAGAAACGUUUCCCGUUUCCAUGACGCCGUCUGCUCGCUCCCACCAGCGGCCCCCGCACACGCACACCGACUUCCUGCUGCCCCUGCUCCCCCUUUUCUAUAAGAGAAACACCGUUUUCUGUUCAAUUCUGAGACCCUCGCGGGACCUGUGGUCAGAGCAUUCUCUCUGUUGCGG